UUGAGGCCCCGUAAUCGGAAUGAGUACACUUUAAAUCCUUUAACAAGGAUCCAUUGGAGGGCAAGUCUGGUGCCAGCAGCCGCGGUAAUUCCAGCUCCAAUAGCGUAUAUUAAAGUUGUUGCGGUUAAAAAGCUCGUAGUUGGUUCUGCGUGCCACGCUGUCGGUUCGCCGCCUGUCGGUGUAACUGGCAUGUCGUGGCAUGUCCUGUCGGUGGUGAACGGGAUUUCCGACGUUGUGUAGGCUUUCAUAGCUGAAGCAAGUGCCGUGUAAAUGCCGUUUGCCGAUUUCUCCUACUUCGGUGCUCUUAAACGAGUGUCGAGGUAGGCCGACACGUUCACUUUGAACAAAUUAGAGUGCUUAAAGCAGGCUGAAAUAUCUGCCUGAAUAGUGGUGCAUGGAAUGAUAAAAUAGGAUCUCAGUUCUAUUUUGUUGGUUUUAAGAGUAUGAGGUAAUGAUCAAUGUGGACUGGCGGGGGCAUUCGUAUUGCGACGUUAGAGGUGAAAUUCUUGGAUCGUCGCAAGACGCACUAGAGCGAAAGCAUUUGCCAAGUAUGUCUUAAUUGAUCAAGAACGAAAGUUAGAGGUUCGAAGGCGAUCAGAUACCGCCCUAGUUCUAACCAUAAACGAUGCCAGCCAGCGAUCCGCCGAUGUUCCUAUAAUGACUCGGCGGGGAGCUUCCAACCCGGGAAACCAAAGCUUUUGGGUUCCGGGGGAAGUAUGGUUGCAAAGCUGAAACUUAAAGGAAUUGACG
rnacentral:rRNA from 1 species